CGACAUCUUCUGCGUCCUUAUCCUCUCCCCUCUCGGCUUGCUUCGCACGUUUUUCCCCUCCCACGCCUUCUGCUUCUCCUUUCAUUUCCCUUGGGACACUCGACUUCCCAAUUUAAUUUCUUCAUGCUGCCGUCUGCUCCUCUCCACGUCUGCAACUCCACCGAUUCUUGCUUUCGGCUGCCACACUCACACCAGUCAACUCUGCAAAUCCCCCGGCCGGUUUGUUGACCACCAGCAGCGAAGCCCACGCCAAACCAGUCCAACGUCCACCGAAACAUGCUGCUCGUUUCCACCGAGUCUCUCUCCCUCUCUGCGCCUGCUCCUCCACUAAGCCGCGUCUCCUUCGGGCAACACCCUAGCUCACCGGAAGCCCAGCCGUGUUGACUCCCCCCCCUCGCCAGCGACGCCACUUGGCCAACGUCCACCCCUCCGUUCCUCUCUGCCGGGUCAGCUCACGAUUCCACCGAAGCUGCUUCUCCCUUUGCUUCUUCGACAGCCAGCUCAACCGAAGUUUUCGCUCGAUCCCAACUCUGCCACAUCCAACGAUCCAUCAAGCGGAGCAGCAUCACCGUCAACUGAAGCAAACAGAAAUCCAGCGAGCUUCACGUCCCUGUCGCAGCAAGCCAGUUCGGUAUUUCAGCGGCCCAGCAAGUUUGAGCCCAUCUCCAUCAGCUCAGCCCAUCUUCGGCAAGUGAAGCCCAGCAAUUCCAGUCCACGAGCCAAAAGUUUCAGCCUGUUAAUUCCAGCAAUUUUGGCCCAACAGCUGGGCCUGUUUUCAGCCUUGGUUCAGCCCAGUUUCGGGCCCGGUUCAGCAGCUGUUCGGCCCAGCUCUUUGAAGCCUGCGAAGCAGCCCAAGCCCAAUACCAAGCCCAGCAAUUGAUGUGGGCUUGCGAGGCUUGUAGGCCCGGCCUGAGUGUCUGCCAAAAAUUUGGAUUUCGGCCGCCGUCACGCCGUCGUCUUAGUGUUCCGGUCUUCACUUUUAUCAAGCCCGUAGAUGAGCCUGAGGAGGAGAAGCUAGAAGAUGACGAUGAGCCAGAAAGAGAUGAAGAGCUCGAAGGAAAUGAGCUUAGUGAAGAAGAGUCAAAGAGGAUCAGGAUGAUCUUGAGUACGACCCAGAUGAGGACUGAGAUCCCAUCCUCUUUUGUGAACCCUUUGUAUAUGUGUAGAUAGAGUGAGACUUUGAAGUUUGUGAAUACUUGUGAAGUACUCUGCCUAAUGCCAUGUAUAAAAGUUUGGUUGUAAAUUUCAAUAUGAAAAAUAUGGCCCGUUUUUCUA